CAGGAAGAAAAUACUUUAUUAGAUUUCACCAAAGAAGCAAAACUAGAAGUAUUCUAGUUGUCUUUUAACUUUGGAAGCUAAUAUAUAAAGAAACAUAGAAGUUUUCUUUCCCCAGCGUGUGUGCCUCUAUUCACCUAGACAGAGUUGUGAACCUGAACGAUUCUCAGCUGUGAGGGGAAGGAACAAGUAAAAAUCAGUUUGUUUUGAAGAAAAGGAAAGAGUAAGAAGUAGUUCCUUGGUGCAGUGACUACUAAAAGCUGCCUUCUCCAACUUCCUCUGCUCCUGAGCUCUGCACGUAAAGCUCAAUCAUCAAAAAGAAGACAUUCUUCAACGCUAAAGCACAAUAAAAGAAAAAUUCAUGGUGUUCUCA